AAAUAUUUUUAAGAAAUAUUUUUAAAAGAUAUUUUAAAAAUAUUUUAUGCUGUAUGAGAGCACGCGUAUAAUUUAAUAAGGCUACUUUUUGUUAUAAUUAGUAGCUUAAUCUUUAGUAGCUUAUAAGAAUGGCAAGUAAUUGAAGACAAUUAAGAAGAUUAUCUAAUGUCAAUAAUAGCACAAUAAAGCAGAAACUACUUUAAAUGAUGACUCAUAUGGAGCUAAAGAAAGCAUAACCAGAUGUUCGCGGAGGUCAUUUGGGAUCAUCAGGUGCAGCAACAAACUUGAGUUUAUAAUACGUAAUAACGAUAUUUAUAUCGGUAAUUAUGCUUGGAAAUCUAUUCUUUGCCAAGACGUCGACGAAUCGAUAUCUGUAUUAUUUGUUUAUAAAUUUAAUCUGCGAAAAAAUCGAGCUCAAGAGUGCGAAAUAUGUCAGUGAUAACUAACAAUCGCGAAAGAAUGUGAAAUAUUUUAUUUUUCACUUUAUGUGUUUUUUUUUGCAUAUUUUACUGACGACUUUUAACGGUGAAUAUAAAUAAGAAAUUAUCGCAAAAAAUUGAGCUUGACCCCGAGAGCUGAUAUCGCUCCAAUUUUACAAUAUAAACAUUGGACGACUAUAAUAAUACACAAUUGGUGAAUAUUAUUAUUGUGUAUCUCAAGGGGAGCAGUACAAGAUGGAAUUACAGGAAAAUUACGCCUUUGCUCAUAAAAACCUGGUUUACGAUACUAUUCCUCUCAUUAUUAUUGAUAAGUCAGUGGGGAAACAUUUUAAAGAUAAGAGAGAAACUCUAAAAUAUUAUCACGUUUCUAGUCCAUUUUGGAUGAAGUUUCGUUUAUUAUUAUUUUGGACAUUGUGGUUAUAUUGAUUAUGGCGAUGAUGCUCUGUAUUCUCACAUAUUUUUGUUUCACACCUCGAAUGUGUUAUAGUCAUAAUUCAAAUAUACACACAACGUAAACGAAUGAUAAAUAUGCACCAGUCCAAGAAUGCAGUGACAUCAUCAUAAAUGUAAUAUACAUAUAAUAAUUUGAAUAUUAUUAAAUAUAUUUGUACUAUAUAAAUAUAAGAAUUAAAUUGUCACAUACCUUUGAGCGCCUUUUAAUAUCUUAAAAUCGGCAAUUUUUGCCACAUUAUACAAUACAAUAUAUUGUA